ensembl:snoRNA
AUCCAAAGUGAUUCGCUCACCCAGGGGCCAACUGGUGCCACUCCCAGGAAAGUAGCAAAUCAGAACUAAAAUUGGCAUGACUAAGGUUUUGAGGGACGGGGAUGCUUACUGGGGAUGCUUAUUCAUUUUGUCUCCCUUUGCCUGUCUGAGUCUAUACUUAA